rnacentral:rRNA from 1 species
UGGGGAAUAUUGCACAAUGGGCGCAAGCCUGAUGCAGCAACGCCGCGUGAACGAUGAAGGUCUUCGGAUCGUAAAGUUCUGUUGCAGGGGAAGAUAAUGACGGUACCCUGUGAGGAAGCCCCGGCUAACUACGUGCCAGCAGCCGCGGUAAUACGUAGGGGGCUAGCGUUAUCCGGAUUUACUGGGCGUAAAGGGUGCGUAGGUGGUCUUUCAAGUCGGUGGUUAAAGGCUACGGCUCAACCGUAGUUAGCCUCCGAAACUGGAAGACUUGAGUGCAGGAGAGGAAAGUGGAAUUCCCAGUGUAGCGGUGAAAUGCGUAGAUAUUGGGAGUAACACCAGUAGCGAAGGCGGCUUUCUGGACUGCAACUGACACUGAGGCACGAAAGCGUGGGUAGCAAACAGG